AUUCAAAUAAUUUAUAAUUAGAAUAUAACACUGAAGAUGUUAGAGAGGACUUAACCUUUGAAUA
rnacentral:tRNA from 1 species